rnacentral:rRNA from 1 species
AGAAUCAACGCUGGCGGCGUGCCUAACACAUGCAAGUCGAACGAGAAAGUGGAGCAAUCCAUGAGUAAAGUGGCGCACGGGUGAGUAACACGUGACUAACCUACCUUUUAGUGGGGGAUAACCUAGGGAAACCUGGGCUAAUACCGCAUAAUACCUACGGGUCAAAGCAGCAAUGCGCUGAAAGAGGGGUCGCGGUCGAUUAGUUAGUUGGCAGGGUAAUGGCCUACCAAGACUGUGAUCGAUAUCCGGCCUGAGAGGGCGCACGGACACACUGGAACUGAAACACGGUCCAGACUCCUACGGAGGCAGCAGUGGGAAUUUGCGCAAUGGGGGAAACCCUGACGCAGCAACGCCGCGUGGAGGAUGAAGUCCCUUGGGACGUAAACUCCUUUCGAUCGGGACGAUAAUGACGGUACCGGAAGAAGAAGCCCCGGCUAACUUCGUGCCAGCAGCCGC